rnacentral:tRNA from 1 species
CCUCUCCUUUUAUCCCUUUUUGUUAGCGGUUCAAAAUUCAUUAUCUUUCU